GGGUCAGUAGGUUGGUCGUGCCACCGGUACGUACUGGUCUCACUGAUUCCUCCUUCCUGAAGAACCGUAAUGCCAUUAAUUUGGUGUUGCGGGGAAACAGGACUGUUACUUUGAGAAAAUUAGAGUGUUUAAAGCAAGCUAACGCUUGAAUACAUUAGCAUGGAAUAAUGAAAUAGGACGAUCGAUCCUAUUUUGAUGGUUUCUAGGAUUGACGUA
rnacentral:rRNA from 1 species